UUAAUGUCAUAUAUGUCAUAGAUGAUAAAUGUUGCAGCUUUAAUUCUCUCUCUCCACAAUUAUACUCAUUUCAAGCCUGCAAAAGUCUGCAACAACAAAAAUUGAAAGGACUCAUAAUAAACUGACAAAAAAAAAAAUAAAAAAGAAACAAUCAUGCACUAUAAAAUGCCUGCAAAGCCACGUGAACUGUAACUCUAAAGUUAAAUUUUUUUGGUAGCAUAGUCUGCCUUACUGCGGGCUUGCUGUGGGCCUGACCGCGGGCCAGUUCGUGGGCCCAGACCGUGGGCCUGAUCACGGGCUCGUCCACGGGCCAUUUUGACGGGCUCAUGCCGGGCGAGGCUGAAACUCAAAUAUUGCUAACGUCCUCGGCCCACGGCCCAUUUAAUGGACAACGGGCCGGGCCAUGAACGGGCCAGGCUCGGGCAGCCCGCGUGCCAGCCCGGUCCAUGCCCAGGUUUUAUUUCCCACCAUGUUAAUAAUCUUGGUUGAAUUCUGCAAGGAAAGUUGAGAAGGACGCAAUUCAACUUCAACUGUUCAACCCAACAAGCGGGGUUGUGUAAAUUUUGCAGGGGAACGGUCUGGUGUGGUAAAAAACAUGAAAGGAUGUGAUCUUUCAUCAGCAAAAUCUCGCAAUCUGUCAAGCGUUGGCAAGACAACUUUCCCGAGAUCUGGUCGGUCUUUUCUCCUCAACUCAGCACAUUGUAUAGCAAUCUUUGCCAGGACUAUGGCUUCCUCUACUGGCCAAUCAGGUACCGUUGGAUCCAGCAUGUUAGCAAAUGUUCCCUUCUCAAUAAAGUGUUCUGCGUGGUGUGCCAAACCCAUGGGUGGCUUGGCAGUUAGCAGUUGGAGAAGCACAAUCCCCAGGGAGUAGACAUCAGAUUUAACACCAAGCAUACCAGUUUGUUGAUAUUCUGGAUCGAUGUAGCAGAAAGUCCCGGCAGCUGAUGUCAUGCAAUAUUGUGUUAUGUGAUCAGCAACGGAAGGGGGCACUAGCCUCGCUAAUCCAACAUCACCAAUCUUAGCGACAAAAUACCGAUCCAGAAGUAUAUUCCCAGGUUUAAGGUCACGAUGAACUAGCGGUUCUGGCUUUGUCUGAUGGAGGAAAUUCAGUCCUGUUGCAAUGUCUGCUGCAAUUCGGAACCUAACUUGCCAAGAAAGAGCUGGGGUAUUCCCUCGCCGAAACAAACGAUCAUCCAAACUACCAUUAGCCAUGUAUUCAUAAACUAUACAACCAUAUUCUGGGCAUGCUCCAAGUAGAAGAACCAUGUUGGGAUGCCUGAUACAGCUAAGUACUUCAACCUGCAACAGUCCAAGGUUAUUCAUACAACUUUGCUAGUGAGUUAAUUCCCUUAUAGAAUGGAUCACACGACAUUAACCUUUAAUAUAAGCCUUGACAAUAUCUGUAAGUAACUAAUACUCUUUACUUUACCUCCUGCUGGAACUGUGUUCUUCCUUGUGCAGCAUCUGGACGUAAAACUUUCACUGCAACUCUUGUAUGAUCAAGGUAACACUUAAAGACAGGUCCAUAGCCUCCUUCUCCAACCUUGAGAGAUUCAGAGAAAGAAUCUGUUGCUGUCUCAAUCUCUUCAAUGGUGUAUUUCCUGUAGCUUACAGAGCCAUUGGUUGAUCUGUAGUCUGUGUUUCCUGUACUUAAUUUUCUUUCUUCCUGUUGCUCUGCCGCCCUUUCUGCUUUUUUUCUUUCAGCAAGCACCAUUGCCACUUCCUCAGGAGUCCCGGUUUCCUCCAACUUUUUGUCUUCUUCUAGCCUCCAUCGGUGAAGCUCCAUUGCCUGCGUUUGUUUAACAUUUUAACAAUCAAAUGCCAAUUUUAAGAAUCGAAUAUCGAUUCCUCCCCCCCUCCCCAGUGUUACCUAGUUCGCUAUCUAAUUCACCGUUUGAAUUCGCCAAUUUGCCCAAAUUGGACCAAAAACAAACCAAAACCGACCAUAAUUCGCUUGUUUCAAUUCGCAAUUUGUGGGGUAAUUAGAGAAUUAGGUAACACUGCAGCCCUCCCCCUUACAAUCUUCUUCAGAGAACCCAUAGCUUCUUUUUUGGAGUAGGGGGUGUCUGUUUGUGAAGGUGUGAAACAUACUUGUUGUCUUUCUCUCUCUUUUGCAACAACUGCUUCUUUGCAGGCUUCACUGUACAUUUCCAUAGUUUGCUUUAGUUCAAGCUUAAGCCUUCUCAUCUCAGUUUCUGUUUCUUCCUGCAACAUUUUCCAAACAGGUUUCAUAUUGUUACGUAUUACUUCAUAACAUGAACAAAUAAACAGUAAGAUACAUGAAAGUCAACAGCACGUAUGUAUUUCAUACACAACUGGAGAAAUCAGUAAAUAGUACAUGCAAGAUACAUGAGUGUCAUUGGCAGUUGGCACAUGUUUGUAUUCUGAUUGAAUUUGAAGAAGAUAAUUAUAUUUGAUGAUUUUGCUGUCUCUAUGGUAGUAUGGUUACAAAGUACGAAAAGUUGCUGUGGUACAUAAUAAUCACUCAGGUCGUAGUGCUAUCAACAGUAUCCUGGAUUCCUCAAGGUGGGCAGCUGAGUGCAAGUUAAACCUAGGCAGUGAAGAAGAUGAAGUCAUUCCACUUUCUUGCGACAUAAAUGAAAAAUCAGGCCUUGGGCUCAUAUCAUUCAUCCUUUGUCCGAAGCGAACUGACCCAAAACUAUGGUCUGAACUGGUAGACAUUCUUGGGGUGCGUGCUGAAUCCAUGUAGUCAUAAUGCACGGAAAGGCGGUCAACACUUGUUCUAUCUGAGCUCACGAAGGAUAUAUCUGUAUCACUUUCCGGAAAGUCACUCAUCAUCAGCCUUUCAUGUAUUCUAUCUGGCCUGAUAGAACAUUUGAUAACAUGAGUGCAUAUCAUCAUGAUAAUUGUUAACAUUUAAUGCAUGAGAAUACUAGAUAUGGAAGUAAGGCUUAACUCAUAUUACAUUGAUCUCAUUAUCUUAUGAUUUAUUUUGAUCUGGAAACGGUUAAGCAUGUUUAGUGAUUACCGUCGUAUGUCAUUAAUUAUAAGCUUCUUUCAUAGUUGUAUCCAGGAGGGAUGAUUGACAGUAUGAUAAUCAUAGAAUGAGCUUGCCCUUCUAGUGGAAUAGUAUGUAGUAUGUACCUGACUAACUCCCUGUCAUCUCUUGGUGGCGUGCACCCGCUGUAAGAUGGCCUUUCCCCUGCUUGCGCAGAAUCCAGAUUCAUCAUUUGGAGAAGAACCAACGCAAGUAAUAUAGUAGUGCAGAGAAAAUGAAAGAAACCUUUAAUGCUCAGACUACGCUUUGGAGGUGUCGAAACAGGCGUGGAAGGACUCGAUUUGUCUUUGACUACGCUUUCUAAGUAGUUCUGAAGAGGUGAUGUAUGUGGAACUGGUCGUGAAGCAUUGCGUACAUUUGACAUCUUAGUCUUCGAGAUUACAAAAAUAUUGCAGAAAUCAGGAGGUCUUGCAGGAAUUCCUAUGAAAUUGCUUGGAAUGGUACGUCUAAUCCAAAGUAAUGAAUUAUAGAUCCCAUGAAAAAAGGGAGGAAAAUUAACAGAAAAAGGCAAAAGAAGAAGAAGGCAGAAAUAUUUAGAGAUAGCCAGAUACUCGAUCAGAAAUUGAAGAUCGGGCCAUCGGGGUUAUGCUCAACUAAGUUUUGGGGCUAGUUUGCUACAAUUUCAGAUAAGCACUACAUUGCACCAUUGAUUCAAGUCUUGGGGUGAUUUUACACUUUUCCCUGUAAAGGUUGCAUGGCAAGCUCAGAAAAGCCCAGUGAAAUACCUGUUGCAAAUACCAAGUAAAAAGGGAAAGGGUUGUAAGACGAAACAUUCUUGGUGGAAUUAAAAAGAUGAGUUGAAGAGAAAAGAAAGGAAGCAAACAAGUGCAAGAGAGUAUAAAGACAACAAAGUUUUACAGAAUCCUCUUUUAUGCUCCAUCUUACGUCUAAAUUUUCAUGGCAACAACUAAAACCAACCUUCAAAAGUUUUUUUAUUUCGUCCUGGCUGUGAUGGGUUCCUCCCAUCUCUUUAUCAAAAACAUCUUCUCCUUUCUCCUCUGCACUUGCUAUAUCAUGUACCCAGGCUACUAGAUUUUCACCCUUGACAGUUCCAACAGCAAGGAAGUUGGUUGGGAAUUUCCCAGUUAGUACUUCCAGUAUGAGAAUCCCGAGGCUCCAAACAUCUGUCUUCCUUGUAAGACGGCCUAGUUGAGCAUAUUCAGGAGACUUGUAGGCAACCAUGAGCUGCUUAGCAUGCUCUGGGUUGAUUAAAGGUUGGAGGGCAUAGUUCAUGAGAAGAGGUUCAUAUGAAUCAUUGAGAAGCACAUUUGAUGAUUUGAGAUAGCCAUGGGGCACAAUAUAGCUUGGGAGCUCGCUGUAAAGGAAGACUCGAAGUUUCCGCUCUCCAACACCUCUGCCGAUGCAGUCAACAGGUCUGAGAGGUCAAAAUUUUUCCUGUCAUCUCUCACAAAAUCCAACUUCUCUGGGUCCGACCGCUUUCUUGUGGUCAUUGUGCGCUGUUCG